CCCUCCCCCAGCCUCGCUGCCUCCUUGCAGUUUGAUCUCAGACUGCCCUGCUAGCAAUCAGCGAGACUCCGUGGGUGUAGGACCCUCCAAGCCAGGUGCCGGAGAUAAUCUCGUGGUGCGCCGUUUUUUAAGCCCGUUGGAGAAGCGCAGUAUUCGGGUGGGAGUGACCCGAUUUUCCAGGUGCUGUCUGUCACCCCUUUCUUUGACUUGGAAAGGGAACUCCCUGACCCCUUGCGCUUCCCAAGUGAGGCAAUGCCUCGCCCUGCUUCGGCUCGCGCACAGUGCGCGCACCCACUGACCUGAGCCCACUCUCUGGCACUCCCUAGUGAGAUGAACCUGGUACCUCAGAUGGAAAUGCAGAAAUCACCUGUCUUCUGCCUCGCUCACACUGGGAGCUGUAGACCGGAGCUGUUCCUGUUCGGCCAUCUUGGCUCCUCCCGGAAGAAAACUAUGCUGUGGUUGGAUAUAACAAAGACUACCAGUCCAUGCCCAAGAGCUCCUGUUAGCCAGUCACAUUUUUUUUCCUGCAAGGAAGACUGGUUUAAGAGAGAUUCACCUCUCCCUUCCCACCCAGGACUGAACAGAGAGACAGGAAGGAAGGAAAAAGAGAUGUAACUAUGAAGAGGCAUAUGCUGUUGAGAGUCUCAAACUGUGACCUACCUUUGCCUCAUUCAGGCAAAUCUUUGAAACUUGGUUUCCUCAUGGUAAAUUGGAGAUAAUCCUGCCUACAUGAUUAAAUGAAUAACAUAUGAAAUAUGUGUUUCACAAGACCUCUAAAACAGGUUGAUUUUCUAUGUCUUAAAAGUAAGCCGAUAAGUAUAUGCAGUUGCUGGUAAGAGCAUUCUAGGCAGUGAGAAAUGGGUCAACAAAAUUAUAGAGGGAAAACAAGGUGUGCUCAGUGACCCCCAAAGUGGAACUAAAAUUUCGUGAAAGAAAAUAUUAAGAAAGAAGCAUAGAAUGGUAGGUAGAGCCAGGUCUCAGAAGGCUGUCGAUAUCAGGCUGUAGAGCUGAGCUUUAUGCUUGUUCUGUAAAGUAGGAUUAAGUAACAAAACCUCUGAUGUCACAGUAGGAAGUUUGCAGGGUCUCCACGAGUUCACUUUUUGCAAACACUCUUGUACAAAUUAGAAAAAAUUCACACCUUCCACACUUCUUCCAUUAGGCAGAA
rnacentral:lncRNA from 10 species